rnacentral:rRNA from 1 species
AGUGAACGCUGGCGGUAGGCCUAACACAUGCAAGUCGAACGGCAGCACAGUAAGAGCUUGCUCUUACGGGUGGCGAGUGGCGGACGGGUGAGGAAUACAUCGGAAUCUACUUUUUCGUGGGGGAUAACGUAGGGAAGCUUACGCUAAUACCGCAUACGACCUACGGGUGAAAGCAGGGGAUCUUCGGACCUUGCGCGAUUGAAUGAGCCGAUGUCGGAUUAGCUAGUUGGCGGGGUAAAGGCCCACCAAGGCGACGAUCCGUAGCUGGUCUGAGAGGAUGAUCAGCCACACUGGAACUGAGACACGGUCCAGACUCCUACGGGAGGCAGCAGUGGGGAAUAUUGGACAAUGGGCGCAAGCCUGAUCCAGCCAUACCGCGUGGGUGAAGAAGGCCUUCGGGCUGUAAAGCCCUUUUGUUGGGAAAGAAAAGCAGCAGGUUAAUACCCCGCUGUUCUGACGGUACCCAAAGAAUAAGCACCGGCUAACUUCGU